UGGGGGAUCGUCUAAUGGUCGGACGUCUGCCUUUGAAGCAGAAAAUUUUGGUUCGAUUCCAAGUCCCCCAG
rnacentral:tRNA from 1 species